rnacentral:misc_RNA from 1 species
UCCGAGUUGACCCCGGCAGUCUCCUAUGAGUCCCCACCAUCCCGAAGGACGUGCUGGCAACAUAGGACGAGGGUUGCGCUCGUUGCGGGACUUAACCCAACAUCUCACGACACGAGCUGACGACAGCCAUGCACCACCUGUAUACCGACCACAAGGGGGCGACCAUCUCUGCUUCGUUAGUGGCAUGUCAAGGGUAGGUAAGGUUUUUCGCGUUGCAUCGAAUUAAUCCACAUCAUCCACCGCUUGUGCGGGUCCCCGUCAAUUCCUUUGAGUUUUAGCCUUGCGGCCGUACUCCCCAGGCGGGGCACUUAAUGCGUUAGCUUCGGCACGGAGGGAGUCGACACCCCCCACACCUAGUGCCCAUCGUUUACAGCGUGGACUAC